UUCAAAACAAACAUCUGAUCAAAAUGAAUCCAGAGCUAUAUUUUUGACCGAUAUAACAUUUGUCUAAGUGUUUUCAAAUGAUAAAUAAUUGCAUGUUAUAAGGGGAGAAAGUUUUCAGAAUGAAUAAUUAUCUCUACUGGCAACAGUGAUCCCGAGGCAUUUAUUAUUUACAGCAGGGAGCAACCGAAAUAAGAAGAGAAAUAUUUUUCUGGAAAAAGAAGCCAGUUGUCUGAUCCUGUCCUAGGGAAAUACUACUGUGCAAGUUAGUCCUAGGUAUCGUUCAACAAGGUAUUUUUGCGUGUCAAAUACUGAAAAAUUUUGUAACGCUAUUUGUAGACUUUUUACUGAGAUCUAUUAAGAAAACUCCGGAAAUUCAAUCAAAGUGCUGACAAAGAUUUUUUCGUGAAAUUUCAUUUCUUCUAGGGACAUUUUUGGUACAAACUAUCAAUUCCAAUGAAGAUGAAAUGCAUUUAAAACCCUUAUAUCUGAAGUUCAUAAUUCGUUCUUGAGGAAUUCCAAGGUUUCUGGGUGUCUAGAAGUAGCAUCACAAAAUAUAUAUAUAUACUACAAAAAUAUACACAAAAUACAAACAUUCUCGAUUUCGAACGCAAAAUAAAUGACUUGCAGUUUGAGCGGAUCAGAAUUCAGAAUUCCCCGAAAAGUAAUUCGAACUAACACAAGGAUUCCCGAAGAAUCGUCGACAGGUUUCGAUGAGUGCCAAACCAGUUUAGCCAGCUCUCAUCAGCAGACCACACGCUUUUUUUUGUUCUGGCCCAGUAACGAUUAGCCAAAUGUAGCGAAUGAUGACAUCCGCAAAAUCUGAAAAUUGACUAUCGAAAAGAUGAGCCCAAGUAAUCUGAAACGUUGGUUGCCUUCGUUGUCAAGGCGAAUAGCUGACGCGCAGAGGCCAAGGGUUCCUACGAUCGCUCGGUUACCAUAUCAGUCAGAAACUAUGCGCUUCAGGUGAGGUGAUAAUGCGCGAAAAUAGCGACCUAUCUACGUCUGAUACCGCGACAUACUUGCUAAGACUGUGAGCUGCCCCAGGAAAUGUCGUGCUAUUUUGGCUUCAAACUGAAUAUUAAUUUUUGUUAGCAUAAAGAGCCGGACUGUCGGCCACGGUGGGUGUUUUAUCUGGUGAACUCAUAUGGAAUCGCUAAAGUACAGCUACCGUCAAGUGAAACCGGUUUCGGCGAAUCUUGGACAAACUCGCUGGCGUUGGCAAACAAGGAUGUCAGACAGUAUUCCUCGGCGAGGCCGGCAUGUGAUUGCAUAUUUUAGCUGGGCUGUUAGCAAUAAAGUUGGCCGACUGUCUGAAAUGUUGAAUCCAACGGUUAGGUUAUGAGCCAGCUUGGAAGCGGUUAGGCACCUGGUCUGUUAUGAGCACAGACUACCAGAUAUAACACGGUCAGCAAGAUCUCUAGUGUUUCGUAGUUUGCAUAUACUAGGGCCAUUGUACCAAUAGUCUUCUCAUUAGUAGACUUUCAAUCAAUGAAUUGUAAUAAAAUCGAAGCUUCUAACUUUAUUAUACUGUUGAAGUCAAUCUAUCGAACAUAGACAACAGAUCUCACUCUAGCUAAUGAUUUUUCGUAUAUGAGAUGACUAAUGGAACUGAGAUGAAUGGUGGUCCGUUACCCUAGAUGAUUUUUCGUGCGAGAGCUUCCUUCAAAAAUUUUCACUUGACUAUUUAUGCAGUUGCCUCGUUUCGAAGCUUCGACCUAACAAAAAUGAAAUAUUAAGAAGAUGAAUUUCGCGAGAAUUCUACAAGUUCCGCUUUACGCACAGAUGCAAGAUCGAGAACCUCUCCAAUAGUAAUCAAACAGAUCUGGUAGAAAUCGCCGGUCGUAAAACUUUCUAAACUGGUUUCGAGGAACCUUCAAGUAGGCCAGGAGCAGUUCAAAUCUGCAGCAACCAUUUGACAGUGAGUAUCUACAAAUUCAUAGAACGUAAUUCGUGAAACGAUUGAAUUUUACAAGAAUGAUAUAAA